UUUCCCUUUACGCCGCUAAACCCGGAUAAUACGACCCCGAUUUUCCAUCGGGACCUCAGGAGUGACCAUGUAU
rfam:Bacteria symbiont BFo1 of Frankliniella occidentalis strain BFo1 contig215, whole genome shotgun sequence.